CUCUGCUAAGAUGGAGCCUCUGUUUCUGCAUUUAUGCAUCAUUGGGGUGGGAAACUCUGUUUCCUUUUUUCUAGACCUUUCUCUUCCUGCUGCCCUUCUGAAGGACCUCAUUCCCCCUUCUCCCCUCAUUGGCCGUGAUAGUCCACAGGGAACGUCAGCCCCAGCGCAGCUUGUGCUGAGACCACCAUGGCCCUGUGGUGCGGGUCUUCUCUCAGGCCUUGCGUGCUCACUACAGAGGUCUGGGGUGUUUCUGCAGGGUUUUCUCCUCCACUCAGCACGUGGAGAGAUCGCCCAUGGCAUGGAGAGAUGGCCCAGACCCACAGAGACCUCGCCGCAUAGAGGAUUUGCCCAGACCCCUAGACCCCGCCACGUGAGGAGGUCACCCAGGCCCGUAGGGCUCCCGUGGUGUGCGGAGGCGCAGAACAAGCUCAGGAGUCUGCUGACCUGGUGCGCCACACCCCGGGGACCGCCAGUGGGCGUGUUCGAGGCUCCGCUGACCAGGGCGCUGUCAGGUCUGGUUCGGGCAGCGGCUUUGCCUCUGUGAUAGGUGUCCCGUCCCUCUUUCUUCCUGUGCUCCCUCUACACUAGCCUAAGGGAAGUCAGUUUCCUUUUUUUAAUAAAUUUUAAUUUUUGUAGAUACAUAGUAGGUGUUUAUGGGUUAUAGGAGAUAUUUUGAUACAGGCAGGCAAUGCGUAAUAAUCCCAUCAGGGUAAAUGGAGUAUCCAUCCCCUCAAGCAUUGAUCCUUUGUGUUGCAACAAUCCAAUUAUGCUCCCUUAGUUAUUUUUUUAACGUACACUUAAAUUACUGUAGUCACCCUUGUACUAGCAAACACUAGGUCUUAUUUGUUCUAUUUUUUUUUUGUACCCAUUACCAUCCCCACUCCAUCCCCCACUACUGUUCCCAGCCUCUGGUAACCAUCCUCCUGCUCUCCAUCUCCAUGAGUUCAGUUGUUUAAAGUUUAGCUCCCACAGAUAAGUGAGAACAUACGAUGUUUGUCUUUCUGUGCCUGGCGUAUGUCACUUAACACAGUGACCUCCAGUUCCAUCCAUGCUGUUGUAAAUGACAGGAUACCAUUCUUUUUUAUGGCCGAAGAGUACUCCAUCGUGUAUAUAUGGCAAUUCCUUUAUCCCCUUGUCUGCUGAUGGACACUUAGGUUGCUUCCAAGUCUUGGCUGUUGUGAACAGUGCUGCAGCACACACGGGUGUGCAGUGAUCUCUGAUAGACUGAUUUCCUUUCUUUUCUUUGGAGUAUAUAUCUAGGCAUGGAUUGCUGCGUUGUAUGGUAGCUCUAUUUUUUGUUUUUUUGUAGAAACCUCAAACUGUUCUCCCUAGUGGUUGCACUGAUGUACAUUCCCACCAACUGUGGACAAGGGGUGAGGGAAGUUAAUUUCAUGGUAACACCAAGCCUUUCCUUUUUGUCAGUUUCUGUUCUUAUGAUCAUUCAUUAGAAGGCAGAUUCACUGAAGAAUGUCGUUUUACCUAGUUUAAACUGGCUAGAUUCUUUUCAAGGUUACAAUUUUGAACCCCACCUUGUCCCCUGAGUCAUCGAGGUAGCCCAAGAUAACGGUUAAGAGGAAACAUCCUUUGUGUUGGCAGCAAAUUGUUCUCCAGUUUCUGUUAAGUAGUGUCCCUUGCAGGUGAGGAGAGGCUGCUUUCAUCCUCAGCAGGUAGAGACCGGGGAGUCGGACCAGCGGAAAUCCUCACCUCCUGGGGUGGGCCGUGUGGGGAGUGUUAACUGGCAAGACGAUCUAAAUUCUCUACCCAGAUCACAGCGGCUACAGCAGCUUUGCUUUCAGAGAAGAAAACACAAAAAAAAGUGCCCAAAAGUUAAAAAGCAAGUGGUAAAACCGGGAAGCGACACGUUGCACAAAACGUAUUUGGUACGUUAAAAAGGCCAGAAGCACGGUGCCCUGUAGGAAUGAGACUGACAUCUUCACAAAAGGUCAUCAUCAGUCUCAUGUGACAUUCUCCAUGCUUUUUUUUUAAAGACAGGGUCUCAUUCUGUCACCCAGCCUGGAGUGCAGUGGUGCAGUCCCUGGUCACUGCAGCCUUGACCUCCCAGGCUCAGGUGAUCCUCCCACCUCAGCCUCCCAGGUAGCUGGGACCACAGGCGCACACCACCAUGCCCAGCUAAUGUUUUGUAUUUUUGUAGAGAUGGGGUUUUGCCAUGUUGCCCCAGCUGGUCUCUAACUCCUGGGCUCAAGUGACCCACCUGCCUCGGCCUCCCAAGGUGUUGGGAUUACAGGCUUGAGCCACCGCUCAAUCCCAGAAGUGUUGGGAUUACAGGCUUGAUGCUUUUCUUAAAAAACAUAUUCCCCAUGUAUGAUGUCUGCAGAUACUUCAAGAACAUCAUAAACACCACUUUCACCAUCAGCUGGGAGCAGAGUCCCUCCCCAUUCACUGUCGCCCCACGCCAUAGGGACUUGGUGAUGUUUACAGUGUGUCCCUGUGGGCGAACGGGAUAAGGAAAAGAUGGUGCACAUACACUGUGGAAUACUACGCAGCCGUAAAAAAAGAACCAAAUCAUGUUGUUUGCAGCAACAUGGAUACAGCUGGAGGCCAUUAUCCUAAGUGAAUUAACACAGAAACAGAAAACCAAAUAGUGAAUGUUUUCACAUAUCCUGGCCAAUUUGGAGCAAGGCUUAGCAGAAGACGGCGGCAUGAGCAGCGUGACUCAGGAGGGCAGACAAGCCUCUAUCCGGCUGUGGAGGUCACGUCUGGGCCGGGUGAUGUACUCCAUGGCAAACUGUCUGCUCCUGAUGAAGGAUUAUGUGCUGGCCGUGGAGGCGUAUCAUUCGGUUAUCAAGUAUUACCCAGAGCAAGAGCCCCAGCUGCUCAGCGGCAUCGGCCGGAUUUCCCUGCAGAUUGGAGACAUAAAAACAGCUGAAAAGUAUUUUCAAGACGUUGAGAAAGUAACACAGAAAUUAGAUGGACUACAGGGUAAAAUCAUGGUUUUGAUGAACAGCGCGUUCCUUCACCUCGGGCAGAAUAACUUUGCAGAAGCCCACAGGUUCUUCACAGAGAUCUUAAGGAUGGAUCCAAGAAACGCAGUGGCCAACAACAACGCUGCCGUGUGUCUGCUCUACCUGGGCAAGCUCAAGGACUCCCUGCGGCAGCUGGAGGCCAUGGUCCAGCAGGACCCCAGGCACUACCUGCACGAGAGCGUGCUCUUCAACCUGACCACCAUGUACGAGCUGGAGUCCUCACGGAGCAUGCAGAAGAAACAGGCCCUGCUGGAGGCUGUCGCCGGCAAGGAGGGGGACAGCUUCAACACACAGUGCCUCAAGCUGGCCUAGCUGCCUCCAACACACUACGUCAGAAGGACCCGGGUCUUUGAAACUGUGUCUUGAAGCUAAUGUAUUAAUGUGACAUGGAGGAACUCAAUAAAACUCCUGCUUC
rnacentral:misc_RNA from 1 species